UACAUGUGGGGCAAGCGUUGUUCGGAAUUACUGGGCUUAAAGGGUGCGUAGGUGGCUUGUUAAGUCAGGGGUGAAAGUUUUCGGCCCAACCGGAAAAUGGCCUUUGAUACUGGCGAGCUCGAGUGCGUGAGGGGUAACCGGAACGAGCAGUGUAGCGGUGAAAUGCGUAGAUAUUGCUCGGAAGGCCAACGGCGAAGGCAGGUUACUGGUACGCAACUGACACUGAGGCACGAAAGCGUGGGGAGCAAACAGG
rnacentral:rRNA from 1 species